UACGGCUGUUACAGGCCCGUUUCCAUUACCUGCAACCGCGACCGCGAUUGCGACUGCAACCGCGACCGCGAUUGCGACUGCAACCGCGAUUUAAAACCAUGCUUGAAAUAGGAUAAAUGUUCAAGGUGUGUGGCAGAUGCUUGCAUUAUUAUAUAGACAAGUACCUAGUACAAAAUGAAGAAGUGUGGUUGUAAGAAAUUAAUAAUGGAUUUUGAGUUUUCUGAGGCUGAAAAGCGUUUGAGAAAAGGAACAUAACUUCAAUACUAUCUGCACUCAUUGAACUUCACUACUAACUUCAGUGGACUAGUACACUUAACUGAUGCUUAGCUCAUGCAAUGAGUUCAAAUGAGUGAAGUUGAACAUACUUUUUCGAAGCUUGCUUAUUCUUGAUUGUAUAACAUUAUUUACCAUUUUGUGUUUAUUUCAUCCCCUCUUCUUUAACAUUGGGAA
rnacentral:misc_RNA from 1 species